rnacentral:rRNA from 1 species
AAUAGAUACCCGGGUAGUCCACGCAGUAAACGAUGCAGACUAGGCGUGGGGGGACUUGACCCCCUCCGUGCCGCAGCCAACGCGUGAAGUCUGCCGCCUGGGGAGUACGGCCGCAAGGCUAAAACUCAAAGGGAUUGACGGGGGCCCGCACAAGCGGCGGAGCGUGCGGUUUAAUUCGACGCAACGCGCAGAACCUUACCAGGACUUGACAUGCACCUGCAGAGCCGUGAAAGCGGUUGGCCUUCGAGGGUGGUGCACAGGUGCUGCAUGGCUGUCGUUAGCUCGUGUCGUGAGAUGUUGGGUUAAGUCCCGCAACGAGCGCAACCCUCGUGGCUAGUUGUCGAUGUUUCUAGCCAGACUGCCGGUAGCAAGCCGGAGGAAGGUGGGGAUGACGUCAAGUCAGCAUGGCCCUUACGUCCUGGGCUACACGCACGCUACAAUGGCCGGGACAAUGGGCAGCCAAACCGCAAGGUGGAGCGAAUCCCACAAACCCGGUCUCAGUUCAGAUUGUAGGCUGCAACUCGCCUA